CUACGGGGGGCAGCAGUGGGGAAUAUUGCACAAUGGGGGAAACCCUGAUGCAGCAACGCCGCGUGGAGGAUGACGCAUUUCGGUGUGCAAACUCCUUUUAUAUAGGAAGAUAAUGACGGUACUAUAUGAAUAAGCACCGGCUAACUCCGUGCCAGCAGCCGCGGUAAUACGGAGGGUGCAAGCGUUACUCGGAAUCACUGGGCGUAAAGCGCGCGCAGGCGGCCUUUUAAGUUGGAUGUGAAAGCCUAUGACUUAACCAUAGAACUGCAUCCAAAACUAUCAGGCUAGAGUCUGGGAGGGGAAGAUGGAAUUAGUUGUGUAGGGGUAAAAUCCGUAGAGAUAACUAGGAAUACCAAAAGCGAAGGCGAUCUUCUGGAACAGUACUGACGCUGAGGCGCGAAAGCGUGGGGAGCAAACAGGAUUAGAUACCCUCGUAGUC
rnacentral:rRNA from 1 species